CGAGCCAGCCGGGCGGCUGCCUCACCCGCACGGGUGGGGAGGAAAGUCGGGGCUCCACAGGGCACGAUGCCGGAUAGCGUCCGGGAGGGGCGACCCUACGGAAAGUGCCACAGAAAACACACCGCCAGCGGUCCGGCGUUUGCCGGAUGCGGGCAAGGGUGAAAAGGUGCGGCAAGAGCGCACCGCGGCGGCAGUGAUGUCGCCGGCAGGGCAAACCCCAUCGGGAGCAAGGCUGAAUAGGGAGGCAGUGAGGUGCGCCCGCUGAGCCUCCGGGUACAGCCGCUUGAGGCGUCGGGUAACCGACGCCCCAGAGAGAUAGCCGCCGCCUGCCCUCCACAGGCAGGGCACAGAACCCCGCUUACAGGCUGACUCGGUGC
rnacentral:RNase_P_RNA from 1 species